CCUACGGGUGGCAGCAGUGGGGAAUAUUGGACAAUGGGGGGAACCCUGAUCCAGCCAUGCCGCGUGUGUGAAGAAGGCCCUCGGGUUGUAAAGCACUUUCAGUGAGGAAGAACGCCUGGUGGUUAAUACCCAUCAGGAAAGACAUCACUCACAGAAGAAGCACCGGCUAACUCCGUGCCAGCAGCCGCGGUAAUACGGAGGGUGCGAGCGUUAAUCGGAAUUACUGGGCGUAAAGCGCGCGUAGGUGGCUUGAUAAGCCGGUUGUGAAAGCCCCGGGCUCAACCUGGGAACGGCAUCCGGAACUGUCAAGCUAGAGUGCCGGAGAGGAAGGUAGAAUUCCCGGUGUAGCGGUGAAAUGCGUAGAGAUCGGGAGGAAUACCAGUGGCGAAGGCGGCCUUCUGGACUGACACUGACACUGAGGUGCGAAAGCGUGGGUAGCAAACAGGAUUAGAUACCCGUGUAGUC
rnacentral:rRNA from 1 species